UUAGAUUACUAUAGGAGUUCGUUAAAACCAGUUAUGGUGGAGGCAUUAGUUUGUGGUGCAAGUUAUAUCAAGGGUGCUCAUGUUGACUUGAAUCUGGUGCCGAGGGAUGAGAAUGAAGAGGAUGAUGUUGAGAACAUCAAGUUACCCACUGUGGUGGAGGAGAUCAACGAUUGACAUUCAUCAUGUGGAUGUUGAUCUUGCUAUUUUGGAGAUGAAUGUCAAAGUGAUCUUUCUCAUGUGAAGGCUACUUUUGCAUUUCUGUUAUGUUUGUCAUGAACUAUGAAUUGUCACUGCUAGCUUGGAGAUGAACCUCUCAUUUGUGUUAUGUUCAACUUGUCAAUUGCCAUGGAA